CAGCCGCCGCGGUAAUCCGUAGGUCCCGAGCGUUGUCCGGAUUUAUUGGGCGUAAAGCGAGCGCAGGCGGUUAGAUAAGUCUGAAGUUAAAGGCUGUGGCUUAACCAUAGUACGCUUUGGAAACUGUUUAACUUGAGUGCAAGAGGGGAGAGUGGAAUUCCAUGUGUAGCGGUGAAAUGCGUAGAUAUAUGGAGGAACACCGGUGGCGAAAGCGGCUCUCUGGCUUGUAACUGACGCUGAGGCUCGAAAGCGUGGGGAGCGAACAGGAUUAGAUACCCCCGUAGUCCCUGUCUCUUAUACC
rnacentral:rRNA from 1 species